UCUGUAGGCAGCAGGAAUUAGAAAUGGAAGUGACUAAUGAAGUUUCUUCCUACGGGAGUGACACAGGGCGUCACACAGCAUCACACGGUCCAUCUGAAUGAGUUACAGAUUUCCACAUUGGACAAGACAGGGGGUGGCAAUCGGCGGCUCGCCUCUCGCUAUGUAAGUGCGAUCACCCAGUUAAAACCAGAAGACACGAUGCUGGCCUUACACAGAUCCUUUGCACAGCGGCACCAGAAGCAGGAGCUAAGUGACAUCAACAGAUACUGACUCAGAGCUCACUCUGGGUGAGGCCUCCUGAUUUACAUCUGGAUUUACAUCCCCUUCCUAAGAAGGGGAGAAAAGAGCUACCCCACGGCGAGGGGUUAAAACUCUGCUAUCUGGAUUGGUAACAGAAAAAACAGAGAGACAGGAAAGAGACUCACACGAUCUUAGACAGCCUGGAUGGGGGCCCCCUGACAUCCUACCUCAGGCUCGGCCCAACACUGGGCUCAAGACCAGUCUCAAAUUAGCCUCUAGAGACCACGAAAUAUUUGCCAGGUCCCAAGACCAAGCACUGAGUAGGCAAUUCUUGGGUUCUCGGCAGUGUGGGGAAGCACACACUGCCUGGGCCCUGCCAGUUGGGGUCCCUAGGAAGAGAAGGCAGAUUCCUCCAGACCUUCCAAAACCGGGGGGGCAGAAGGGAUGUGGUCACUGGCCACUCCCUUGCAGCUCUCCACUCUUGCAGCUCGUCUCUGAGCCACGGCACGGAGGGCCAGCCCUGCCUAGUUUAUACCUCAAAUUCUCCAGACCUCUUUGUCUCCCUGAGCCUGGCACAGAGGCCCCAAACGGAGUACAGUAUUCCUCUUGUUCAGCACCUCGCUUCUUACUGUGCUGGUUUUCUUUCUGUAAGGUGAAACUAAGUCCCAGAAGACCACGACGGCAUCUCGCCCAGGAGUCAGAAAGGGAACUGGACCUUCCAGCGCCUGGCCGAGAGCCCAGGAGACCAAGCAGGCCCAGGAGACCCAGGCCCAGGAGACCAAGCAGCAGGCUCUCCGGGGGCUGCUGUUUCGGCUGUCUGCAGCAGGGGGCGUUACUGGCAUCUGCAGGAGGCCACAGGUGAGACUCAGAGGCGGCCCCAAGGCACUGCGGUGGAGUCCCCAGCACUGGGGGAGGUGAGGAGAGAGAAGCCAAGCCCAGAAAGUGGCAUCCGGAGCCCGGAACGCCCUCCCUGCAGAGCGCCCUUCCCCUGCCGCCCAGCAGCCUCCUGGGCCAAGCCGCUGGGUCUGGGGCUGCGGGAGAAGUCAAGCGCAGAGGACAGGAGAGCCACAGGAGACUGCCACCUCACACAGCCCCUGUGAAGCCCGAGAGGAUGGUCUGCUCUUAGGCUUGCAAGAGGCAGUCGGGGAGUCACGAAACAGCCUUCUCUCGGAGAAGAAGUAGACAGUCCGGGCUCCUGGUUCCAGCCGUGUGAUCCUGGGUACCCAGCAUCUCUCUGGGCACCAGGUCCCAUUAUUCCUGUUCCUGAAGCAGGAAUAAUGUACAUCCUAAAUACCCAACCCACUUUAUAGCCAUCAGGCACAUCACAUGAGAUGAUAUGGCAACACCACUGUGAAAACUUUCAGAGGAUUGACUCCCCAAAAGGGCGUGGCUGCAGGAGGACGAGAGCUCUCAUACACCUUACUGUGGCCUCAGCCUGGCACCACCUAAGGCAACUUAGGGACAACUCUUAGGGAAUGCUUAACUCACGUCCCACUUUUUAAAAUAUUUUCCACAGAUACAUUUGCGUGGAAUAUGUAACGAUCAUAGUAGUGUUUGUAACGUUUUUAAAAAUGGCGGGGCACCUGGACGGUUCAGUCUAUUGAGCGUCUGGCUCGAUUUCGGCUCAGGUCAUGAUCUCAGGGUUGUGAGAUCGAGCCCCGCGUAGAGCUCCGCACUAGACAUGGAGCCCGCUUGAAAUUCUCUUUCCUUCUUCCUCCCUCUGUACGCCCUGCUCACAUUCUCUCACCCUCAAAAAAGAAAUUAAAAAGUAAUAAUUAAAAACAAUAAAAAUGGAACAUGGCAAACACCCCGUGGUCCAUCAGUAGAACAGUGCCCAUCUUGUGUGGUGCGUGCAGAGGCUCAAGAGAAAAGUGGGGCUGCACACACACGACUGUGUGAUGUGAUACCAUCGUGUCAAACUAACAGAGAAGGACACACUUGUAUGUGCUCGUGCACAGAGCAAAUGUCUGGUCUGGAAGUAUCUGUAGGAAACUGUAACAGUGGGAGUGUCUGCAAGUGAAGUGGAGAAACUAGAAAUAAAGAAAGGGAUUUUUCUUUUUCAUAUUUAUUUAUUUAUUUAUUUUUGAGAGGGGGGAGGAGCAGAGAGAGAGAGACAG